rnacentral:rRNA from 1 species
GCAGCAGCCACGGUAAUACGAAGGGUGCAAGCGUUACUCGGAAUUACUGGGCGUAAAGCGUGCGUAGGUGGUGGUUUAAGUCCGUUGUGAAAGCCCUGGGCUCAACCUGGGAAUUGCAGUGGAUACUGGGUCACUAGAGUGUGGUAGAGGGUAGUGGAAUUUCCGGUGUAGCAGUGAAAUGCGUAGAGAUCGGAAGGAACAUCUGUGGCGAAGGCGACUAUCUGGGCCAACACUGACACUGAGGCACGAAAGCGUGGGGAGCAAACAGGAUUAGAUACCCCGGUAGUCCCUGUCUCUUAUAA